AGAAGGCCAAACAGAGGAGUUCUAGCCAGAUCCCAAAGGAAAGAUUUUUCCUCCUUUUGUAAGUGAUUCUGCAGAAGUGAAAGAAACAACUACAAUUCACCACUCCGCCGUUUCCAGCAACAGACAAGGCAUUAAAAGGCUCAAAUCACCCAACAGCACUUACGCCAUACAUCGGAUAAAUGAAAUAAUUAAAAAGAAUGUCGUUUUUGCACAGAAUGAUGGCAGAGAAUUUGACCACACUGAUGUGCCUGUCAUAGAGCUAGAGAAAUUUGGGUGCGGCUGAUUCUCUCAGGUGAAAAAAAAUGUCAAGUAAGGGCAUGAGCUAAGAUUUAAGGAGACUCAAAUUCUCAGCUGUACUACCAGCUUGCUGGAUGAGCUGUUACAAAGUAUUUUCCCAAGCAACUUGCUUUCGACCUGGCACAUGAGACUGACUCACAUGAAUGAGCUGAGCAGCACAAUGGGGACAAAUCCAGUUUGAAAGGAAAGGAGACGACACUGGUGCAGAACUGCAGAGAACAUGGCUUCUGAAUGAGUCUUAGGAGGAGGCACUAUCACAGACUCUUGCAAACAUUUCAAGACACUGUGCAUCAGCCAUGUUGUCAAGUCUAACAAAAACCCAGCAAACAUCAUUUAUAUCAAGGCCUUUGUAGAGCUAUGUCAUUAAAACAUCAGGAAGGUUGAAGGAUGACUUUUCUUUCUUAAGUUGAUAUGAUUCUGAACAAUACAUCAUUGAGUAUCAAGAUUUAAGAUUUUUUCUGUUUGUCUGUUCUUGUACAAGACAGACAUGUCUUGUGAAAUGAUUCCAAACUCAUUAUUGCUAUCCUUGCACUUCUCCAUAGCCAUAUUACAGCUGGACUAGCUCACAUCGAGGAUGCCCACAUUAAAAGAUAACAGCAUCCUUUGGUAGCAGAAACUAUAGGCUUUCAGCAUUCUCUGGCUUUCAUGGUUUGACUAGCUCUGAACAUUACACCAAAACUCAGCAAGAUAACUAAAGAACAGAAAGUACCAACAUUCACAAAAGGCAAACAUCUGAAUAUGAACACAUUGCUGUUAAUAUCCUUUAGUAUUCAGUUUUAAUGAAAUUCACAGACACAGACUGUCCUUUAGCACAAAUGCAUUCAAAACUAGUAAUUCCUUGUUCUUGUUCCACCUUUAUUCCACUUCCACCAUGGUAGUCUAACACUUCUCAACUCAGAUUACAGCUUCACAAGAGAGAAGUUUAUGUCCAAAUACUCCAAUGGGUGACUUCCACCUUAACUGGAGAAUCCUGGGUAAUGGAAAACAAGUUUUUCCAACAAGAUUGGACAGAGGCAAGUCUAAUCAUUCUGUCACAAGACAGGGAAAGGUCAUACAGGCCACCAACGAUGGUUGUGCCUGCAAUCACUGGGGUCAUCCUUUUAGCAUUGCUAGUUCAGACAAGCCAUCAACUACCAAAUCAAUCCAGCCACACCACUCAAGAUACAUGACAACCGCAGGACUUGAACUGCUACAUCUAUCUUCAGCACCUAGGACUACACAUCCACUAGUGAGCAUGAAAGCACUACUACAGUCUGUGGGGCACAGUUAAGAUGUAUGUAAAAAUGCAAUUGAAAAUAGUCUCCAAGCAAUAUAGUUUAAAAGGCCUCACUGCUCCAGCUGUGUGUUCAUGUUUUUUUUUUUACUCUUCUCUGCAUCUUGAAAAGCAAAAUCUGAUCAGACAUCUAACUAGGAUAGAAAUAUUCAUGCAGUCUGUUCUAGGUGGGUUAUGUAUUGUCAAAUACUAUACAACAGCGAAUGCUACAACCUUAUCACCUGCAGAUGCAGUUGAAUGGCAGCACAAAUCCAGUUUUUUAAAUGCACUAAUUUAAAAACAUCUGAGAUUUGCCCACGAGUUCUACUCAACAUCCCAUAAUGCUAGACGGUUUUCUUCCUCUAACAUUCUUGAUUAUUAAAAAA
rnacentral:lncRNA from 1 species